CUACGUGCCAGCAGCCGCGGUAAUACGUAGAUGGCAAGCGUUGUCCGGAAUUAUUGGGCGUAAAGCGCGCGCAGGCGGAUUGGUCAGUCUGUCUUAAAAGUUCGGGGCUUAACCCCGUGAUGGGAUGGAAACUGCCAAUCUAGAGUAUCGGAGAGGAAAGUGGAAUUCCUAGUGUAGCGGUGAAAUGCGUAGAUAUUAGGAAGAACACCAGUGGCGAAGGCGACUUUCUGGACGAAAACUGACGCUGAGGCGCGAAAGCCAGGGGAGCGAACGGGAUUAGAUACCCCGGUAGUCCUGGCCGUAAACGAUGGGUACUAGGUGUAGGAGGUAUCGACCCCUUCUGUGCCGGAGUUAACGCAAUAAGUACCCCGCCUGGGGAGUACGACCGCAAGGUUGAAACUCAAAGGAAUUGACGGGGGCCCGCACAAGCGGUGGAGUAUGUGGUUUAAUUCGAUGAUACGCGAGGAACCUUACCCGGGCUUGAA
rnacentral:rRNA from 1 species